rnacentral:tRNA from 1 species
GCCGGGGUGGCGAAAUGGCAGACGCAGCGCACUCAAAAUGCGCCGCCCGUGAGGGCAUGCGGGUUCGAAUCCCGCUCCCGGCACCG